rnacentral:rRNA from 1 species
UGGGGAAUAUUGGACAAUGGGGCAACCCUGGAUCCAGCCAUGCCGCGUGAGUGAUGAAGGCCCUAGGGUUGUAAACGCUCUUUUGUGCGGGAAGAUUAAUGACGGUACCGCAAGAAUAAGCCCCGGCUAACCUUCGUGCCAGCAGCCGCGGUAAUACGAAGGGGGCUAGCGUUGCUCGGAAUCACUGGGCGUAAAGGGUGCGUAGGCGGGUUUCUAAGUCAGAGGUGAAAGCCUGGAGCUCAACUCCAGAACUGCCUUUGAUACUGGAAGUCUUGAGUAUGGCAGAGGUGAGUGGAACUGCGAGUGUAGAGGUGAAAUUCGUAGAUAUUCGCAAGAACACCAGCGGUGAAGGCGGCUCACUGGGCCAUUACUGACGCUGAGGCACGAAAGCGUGGGGAGCAAACAGGAUUAGAUACCCUGGUAGUCCACGCCGUAAACGAUG